rnacentral:rRNA from 1 species
UCCAAUCGAACUCGGAGAUAGCUGGUUCUCCCCGAAAUAGCUUUAGGGCUAGCGUCGAGAGAGAGUCAUGUGAAGGUAGAGCACUGAAUAUGUGAUGGCCCCAUCUCGGGGUACUGAGCAUAAUCAAACUGCGAAUGUCACGAUAACAUGCUCGGCAGUCAGACAGCGGGUGAUAAGGUCCGUUGUCAAGAGGGAAACAGCCCAGACCAUCAGCUAAGGUCCCAAAAUGUAUGCUAAGUGGAAAAGGAUGUGGAGAUGUACAGACAACUAGGAGGUUGGCUCAGAAGCAGCCAUCCUUUAAAGAGUGCGUAACAGCUCACUAGUCGAAUGACUCUGCGCCGAUAAUUUACCGGGGCUAAGCAUACUACCGAAGCUAUGGAUCCCAAGGGAUGGUAGGGGAGCGUUCCAUGAACGGAGAAGUACGACCGAAAGGACGUGUGGAGAUCAUGGAAGAGAGAAUGCCGGUGUGAGUAGCGGAACGUGGGUGAGAAUCCCACGCACCGAAAACCCAAGGUUUCCAGAGGAAGGUUCGUCCGCUCUGGGUAAGUCGGGACCUAAGGCGAGGCCGAAAGGCGUAGUCGAUGGACAACAGGUAGAGAUUCCUGUACCCGUAUAUAUGUGAAGGAAUGACGGAGAGAGGAAGCUGCAGCCAGCGGCUGGAAGAGCUGGUGCAAGCGAGAUAUCGGGAUGGCAGGCAAAUCCACCAUCCGAAACGAGAAGGCGUGAAGCGUACGGAAAGCUACGGCGAGUACGGAAGGCAGUGGAGGAACUUCCAAGAAAAGUUUCUAACGUUAAGUAUAUAUGGCCCGUACCGAAAAUGGACACACAUGGGUGAGGAGAGAAUCCUAAGGUGAGCGAGAGAACUAUAGCUAAGGAACUCUGCAAAAUGACUCCGUAACUUAGGGAGAAGGAGUGCUCAUAGAGAUAUGAGCCGCAGUGAAACGGCCCAAGCGACUGUUUACCAAAAACACAGCUCUCUGCUAAGCCGCAAGGCGAAGUAUAGGGGGUGACGCCUGCCCGGUGCUGGAAGGUUAAGGGGAGGGGUUAACGCAAGUGAAGCCCUGAACUGAAGCCCCAGUAAACGGCGGCCGUAACUAUAACGGUCCUAAGGUAGCGAAAUUCCUUGUCAGGUAAGUUCUGACCCGCACGAAAGGCGUAACGAUUUGGGCGCUGUCUCAGCUGUAGACUCGGUGAAGUCUUAGUACCUGUGAAGAUGCAGGUUACCCGCGACUAGACGGAAAGACCCCAUGGAGCUUCACUGCAGGUUGAUAUUGGGAUUUGAUGCAGCAUGUACAGGAUAGGUAGGAGGCAAAGAGAUGGAUACGCCAGUAUUCAAGGAGCCGCUGUUGGGAUACUACCCCUGUUGUAUUGGAUUUCUAACCGGACGACGUAGAGCCGUUGACGGGACAGUGUCAGUCGGGCAGUUUGACUGGGGCGGUCGCCUCCCAAAGAGUAACGGAGGCGCCCAAAGAUACCCUCAGCUUGGAUGGAAACCAAGCGCAGAGUGCAAAGGCAAAAGGGUGUUUGACUGCGAGACCCACAAGUCGAGCAGGGACGAAAGUCGGGCUUAGUGAUCCGGCGGUGCUGAAUGGAAAGGCCGUCGCUCAACGGAUAAAAGCUACCCUGGGGAUAACAGGCUGAUCUCCCCCAA